UCACCCUUGACAUUGUGAUUUCCUACAUAUAAAUCUGAUGAAUUUUUUUUGUGAAACACAUAUAUAACAUAAUUAAUUACAUUUUUUUGGAUUUUUUAUUGGCUCAAAAGUAAUUAGUACAAUUCCAUUCAACGAUUGCAAUGGAUAUUGACUAAAUAAUUAUAUGCUAACUGGUAAGUUGAGCGUCAAUGGAUGGUUAGAGGAAGCAGGUUUGGAGAGAAAAGAAGAAAAGAGGAAGAGGGGAAAUUAGUUAGGACUUAGGAAUAUAUGAGAUUUCACAAUGCCUAAAUCAGUUGCAACUGCCCUGUACAAAUAAUGAAUAGGACUCAUCUCAGCCACACGAUUCAGUUAUAGUAACGAAACAUAAGCAAAUAUGCUCUUCAAGCUCUUUCAACUGCUCCAUGAAGCAGUUUUUGUUAAUACUCUAAUCCCUUAUUGCCUCCUUCAACAUUUUUACUUUAUAAGAUCAUGGAUUUUUACUUUUAUGGAUAUUUUGUCUUUCGUGGUUAAUAUCAAGAUCAUGGUUGAGCUUUUUGUGUUCUUGUUAGACAUUGUGAUUAGUAUCUUCAUAUAACUGUUAAAAAAAUGUGACGAGUAUCUUUAUAAGCAUGUCCUCUGAAUUCACCUAGUUCUUAGUUAUGGAGUGCAGUUAUAAUCUCUUGGCGUCUUAUUUGGCUUUGUGUCAUAUAUCUAUUACAUGUAAUAAACCCGAGCUAGCUUCUACCAGUUGGUUCUUCUUGCUGUUGAUUCUAAAAUCAAUUUUGACUACUGGAGGUGAUCUUUGUAUUUGGGCCUUUACUUUUGGGCUAAGUUGCUUAGACUCUUCAAAAUAUCCAUGGGUGCGUGUAGAUAUUGCAUUCUUAUCAGUUUCCUCUGAUAAUCGGUUUCAUUUUGCCAAAAAUACAUCGUAUGCUGCUUUUCAUGACGAGGAAUAGGGAGUUCCAGUCCAUGAUGACAAAUACUCCAGAAGUAGCGGAUCUUAGAGAAUCUGAUUCGGGUGUGGCAACAAUAUUGAAGAGUCCGAGCAACAUAACUUUUGCCGGUUGCAAUAAAUAAUGCAAUUAAAUGUGAUGGUCUUCUUAGUUUGUGUUACUUCUAUUUUCAGGAAGCUCUUUGAACUUCUCAGUCUAUGCGCUGCAUCAGCUGAACUCUCAUGGCCAACAAUUCUCAGUAAAAGACAUAUGUUUAGAGAAGUCUUUCAAAAUUUUGACUCGGUUGCAGUCUCAAAACUAAAUGAGAAGAAGAUAGCACCACCAGGAAGUCCUGCAGCACUCUUUUGUCAGAGGUAAAGCUGCGGGCGGUUAUUGAAAAUGCACGCCAAACUUGUAAGCCAAGUGAUGCGGCUAAUGGACCCAUUUCUCUCAUGAAUACAAGGAGAUCAUGUGAUGAUAGUGAUUCUGAUGACAGUUGUUGAUUUUGUUGCAAAUUGUCUUGGAUAUUCAAUUAUGAUUAUGUAAUUGUGUGGUUGGAGUUUAGAAUAUUGAAGGUUUUGUGUUUAAAUUUGAUUUUGAAGUUUGAAGAUACUACUUAAUGUUGAAAAUUUGGAGUUUGAAGAUGUUAAUGUUGAAAAUUUAAUUUUGAAGUUUAAUGUUCAAUGUAUUUUUGAUAUGC